ensembl:lncRNA
CAGAGAGAGAAAGAGAGACGCCUCUAUCCUCCGCCAGCACUCCACUGGAUUUAGUGCAUUUGGACGGACGCGAUCUCCCGGUACCUGCAGCCGUGCGCGCGCGGAUCGGGAUACGGAGCACGCGGCCGUGGGUUUAUUACACCCGCAGCUUCACCUCCAUCCUUUCUGUCGAGACGGACGGCUUUGACCGGUCGACCCGCUGUUUCUGAAUAUUUAGUCCAAUAUGAAGUCCAGCUCUACACCAUCGUCAACUGUCAUUCAGGACUUUAUUGGCAGCGCGACGGGGCCCCGUCAAGUGAAGGCGAGGGCUGUCGCUGUGCUAUUGGGAAGUGCCUGAAAAUGUCUCUGGCAUUUGCCGCUGAAAUGCCACAACGCCAUAUAAACCAGUUAUCACGGC